GAGAAACUCGGGAAACUGAUUCAUUGACUGAAAUGACCCAAGAUAUCACCUUAGAUACCGUCUUCAUCUAAAAACAAAACAGGGGCUUCCUGGUGGUCCAGUGGCUAGGACUGGACACUCCUUAAGAAGGAGGCCCAGGUCCCAUCCCUGAUCAGAGAACUAGCUCUCCCAUGCCACAAGUAAGAGUUUGCCUGCCACAGCUAAAUAUCUGGCUUGCCUCAACGAAGGUCGACCUGGCGCAGCCAAAUAAAAAAACAAAUAAAUAUUAAAAAAUAAAACGAAAGGAAAGGAAGGGUAUGGUUGUUGUACAGAUUUACGUCUUAGCUUUCCCUAUUGAUAAAAAAAAGAGUUUCACAAGACUAUCAUCCUUCUAUAUGAUAUAUACAGAGAACUCCUUUGAAAUGAGAUUUCUCUUGUAAAUGUAACUCAGAAGAGCCAUCUUGAACUUGGGUUUCAGAGAUGAUCAUGUGUCCUCUUAAAAAAAAAUGUUAAUUAAGUCCAACGAAUUCUCAUGCUGAAGGGGUAUAUUUUGGGGUAGCAUUUGCUCCCCUCCACUUUGGAUGUAUCCCAAUUUGCUUACACAGUCAUCUACUGAAGACAUCCUGAUAUUUGAAAGUUUUUAGCUAUUAGAAGUAGAGCUCCUGUGUCUAAUUGUGUGAUACUUUUUGUCUGGACACUUUUUCAAAGCUGUUUACUAAGUACUAGACAUGUAGUGUUCAGGUCACAGGUGAGCCUUUUUUAGCUGAGGAAAAAUCCAGCUAAGUUUCUCUGUGGCAUGUGGGAUCUUCCUGGGUAAGGGAUCGAACUUGAGUGUUUUGCAUCAUCAGGCAGAUCCUUUACCACUGAGCCACCAGAGAAGCCCCGCCCCCCCGCCCCCCUUUUUUUGAGUUUACUGGAUCUAAUAGGUGUGCAGUGCUACCUUACUGUUGUUUUAGUUUGUAAUUUCCUUAUGAUAUAUGAUUUUGAGUAUUUUUGAUAUGCUGAUUUACUAUCUUUAUAUUUUCUUUGGCCAGGUAUUCAGAUUUAUACAUUUUUAAUGAGGUUGUUUGUUCCAGAUUUUUUGGUAUAGUUGGAGUACAAUCCAGAAGUAGAUGUUUUUUUGGAACACCUUUGCUUUCUCCAUGAUUCAGUGAAAGUUGUCAACUUGAUCUCUACAUGUACAGUAAUAAAAGAACCAUAGCUAUUUAUAAUGCGGGGGCUUUAGGGAAGUCAUUAGGUCAUGAAGGCUUUGCUUUGCCCUCAUGAACUGAAUUAGUGCCUGUUCAUGCUUAGUUGUGUCUGACUCUGUGACCCCAUGGACUGUAACCCCCCCAGGCUCCUCUGUCCAUGUGGUUCUCCAGGCAAGAAUACUGGAGUGGGUUGCCAUUUCCUGAUCCAGGGAACAUUCCCUACACAAGGAUCAAACUCAGGACUCCUGCAUUGCAGGAAUAUUCAUUACUUUCUGAGCUACCAGGGAAGCCCAUGAACUGGAUUAGUGCCCUCAUAAAAGAGCCCAGGGCACUCCCUUGCCCCAUGUGAUGUGUGGGCACAGCAAAAAGACAGCCAUCUACAAACCAGGAAGAAUGCUUUCAUCAGAACCCAAUCCAAUCUUAGGCUUCCAGCUUUCAGAACAGUGAUAAAUAAAUGCUUAUGUUAUAAUUACUAUUGCAGCCCAAACAAGCUAAGCAACCAUUAACAUAAUGUUCAGAUAUCAACAGUUUUCACCAGAAGACUAUACAUGAAAGAAUGUGUUCUGUUUGAUUUCACUUGUGUAAAAUUCAGAAAAAGACAGAAACUAUGUAGAGUGCUAAAAAUAAAGAUUCAUCUAACUUGAGGAAUACUGACUCAGAAAGAAGAUGAGAAGUUUGUCUGAUGUAGUGUUGGUCUUCUACUUGGUUUAGAAGUUUGGUCAUAAAGGCAUUUUUACUUUGAAAAAAUUCAAUAAAUUGUAAACUUAUGUUUUGUGCACAUUUUGAAUGUGUACUAUAAACAUUUGAAAUAUAUUAAAAAUGAUACUACUCUUCAAAGAAGCAAAACUUCCUUUGAAUAUGAAAGCAGUCUCUUUGUCUACUGAAGGCAGAAUGUAUUAGUUUGCGAGGGCUGCUAUAACUAAGUACCACCGACUGGGGUGGCUUAAACAAAAGAGGCUGAUUUCUUUCCUGUUUGGAGGAUAGUAAUUCAAGAUCAAAAUGUUAGUACGGUUGGUUUCAUUCUGAAGCUUCCGUCUGGCUUAUAGACAGCCAUCACCUCCUGUGUCUCUCACAGUCUUUCCUGUGUGUAUUCUUGUGUUCUAAUCUCCUGUCUUAAAAAAGAUACCAGUCAUCUUGGGUUAGGAUGCACUAUUUGAACCGAUUACAAUUUAAUUUCCUCUUUAAAAACUAUAUCUACAAAUUCAGUCGUAUUCAGAAGUACUGGGAGUCAAGAUUUUGAUAUAUGGAUAUUAAAUUAACUUUUCAACCCAUAACCCAAAGUGGGAUGGUAAUAGGUUGUGGCACAAAGUUAUGAUAAUUGUGUGGAAGAAAUUGUGUUAAAUUGGAUUAAACAAAUAUUACAGAAUAUGGCAUGAGUAUCGAUGGCAGACAUCAAUAUUAUGAUGUAGACGUCCCAAUGUAUGAAGGAAAAUAUUGACACUGAAUCUAAAAAAGAAAAGCACUAGAAACCAGUUGGGCCCCGUGGCAAAUCUGCAUUGUACCCAAUUGUUAUUUCUCCAGAGAACUCAUUUAGUGCAAAAUACUAUCUAACAAAGCGAUUACUUAAUACUCACCUAUAUGUAUAAUCUCUUAAGGAAAUGGCAUCAGUCUACAAAUAUAUAAAUCCUGCCUGCAUUAUUCAGCAGAAGAGCCAUGACAUUGACGCUCUUUCUAAAAUGGCUCUUCCUUCAAAGAAUGAAGAAAUCUGGACACAGAUGUAGAGGGAAGAUGACCAUGAGAAGACAGCAGAGACUGGAAAGAUGCUUACAAGACAAGGAAUGCCUGGGACCAUGAGCAGCUGGAAAAAACAAGGAAGGAACCUCCCCUAGAGCUUCAUAGAGAGCCUGGUUCUGCCAAUACCUUGACUUCAGACUUGUAGGCUCCAGAACUGUGAGAAAAUAAAUUUUUGUUGUUCUAAGU